rnacentral:lncRNA from 14 species
GAUGAGGACCUCCCAUGCCAACACUUCACAGAAACGGCUGAGACGGCUGGAGAUGGUUGGAGAACAUUCUGGGUCCCUGCCCUCUGCCUCUGGCCUAACUGAUGCUGUCCUUCCCCUGGACUUAAAAAAAAAAAAACAGCUUUGCACUUGCACAC